UACGUAGGGCGCAAGCGUUGUUCGGAAUCACUGGGCGUAAAGCGCGUGUAGGCGGCCGGGAAAGUCGGAUGUGAAAUCCCGAGGCUCAACCUCGGAACUGCAUUCGAAACUGCCCGGCUCGAGUCCCGGAGAGGAUGGCGGAAUUCCCGGUGUAGGGGUGAAAUCCGUAGAUAUCGGGAGGAACACCAGUGGCGAAGGCGGCCAUCUGGACGGUGACUGACGCUGAGACGCGAAAGCGUGGGGAGCAAACAGG
rnacentral:rRNA from 1 species